CAACAAAAAUCGCUGCGCUUUGCGAUAAAAUGACAGCGGCACAUUUAGGCAGUCCUCUGCAGAGACUCGCGCACGUCUUCUAGAAUCAGGACACGUGUGUUGACGUAAAUUAUAAUAAUUUUGUGAGGAAGUAUCGAGAGAUUUUAUGGGAUUUGCCGGCAGCCACGAGUAUCAUACGUAAGGCAGUGGUUUCAUCAGACCUGCGCGAAAUACGGUUAUUAUAUCAGACGACGAGCUCAGAUAAAUCAGUCUUUGGUUUGGAACGCUGUUUCCGUUAGAUUAUUACAUCAACCUGUGUCUUGUUUUGUACGGUGAUUAUUAUAGCAAAAAUAUAUUAGAUUCGUGGGUGAGAAGGACAAAUAUAAUGUACGG